rnacentral:rRNA from 1 species
UACAGAGGGUGCGAGCGUUAAUCGGAAUUACUGGGCGUAAAGCGUGCGUAGACGGUUAUUUAAGUCGGGUGUGAAAGCCCCGGGCUCAACCUGGGAAUUGCAUUCGAGACUGAAUAGCUGGGGUACGGUAGAGGGAAGUGGAAUUCCACGUGUAGCAGUGAAAUGCGUAGAGAUGUGGAGGAACACCGAUGGCGAAGGCAGCCCCCUGGGCCAAUACUGACGCUCAUGCACGAAAGCGUGGGGAGCAAACAGG